rfam:Myotis brandtii contig175714, whole genome shotgun sequence.
GGCCUCCCUUUGUGGGGUGAUCAAUCAUGGGGCUCCCAGAUCGAUAGCCCUGCAGAGGGAGGCC